UAGGUUCAAUUACUUUUUCUGCCGAAAAGUUCCGGCCGGAGUGGGCGAGCGACCGAAUCAAAGUGUCUUGUAUUCCAGAUUUCGGUCUUCGUGGCGGUGGAGGAGGAGGACGGGAAAUAUUAUUUACUCGGCGGGUCAUUCCGGAAGACGGGACAGGCAGGAACCAGUUUGCGAUCGUGGAAGCGGUUGAUGUUUGGUGUAUUACCGUUCGCGGGAGGUUGCGACGCAUGCCUAAUGGAACUGGCAUUCAUAUUCUAUUAUUAUCCCGCCGGAAACCAUGCGUCCCCUUGUGGUCACUCCACAAACCCACGUUUUCUCGUACUCCGGUAAACAUCAAUCCGUCGGAGAUCUAAGAUCGUUGCCAAGGCGUCGCAUCCGGAUUUGAUCAGCUCGUCGAGGAGCAAAAGUCCAACACGACCAAGAUGCUGCCACGGCCGCCUCAGAAGAACACCAACACCCAAGCCGGAAGCUGCCGCCAAGGCAAAUCCAGAAGAAAGCCGAGUUGGGGAAGAAUCGGCGAUCCGCAAGUGAAAUUAAAAGUACAAGAAAAUAUUUUUGUGAAAUUUUUACAGUUUGAAUAAAAAAAAACAAUUAAAACAAAA